AGUGGACGCUGGCGGUAGGCCUAACACAUGCAAGUCGAACGGCAGCACAGUAAGAGCUUGCUCUUACGGGUGGCGAGUGGCGGACGGGUGAGGAAUACAUCGGAAUCUACUUUUUCGUGGGGGAUAACGUAGGGAAACUUACGCUAAUACCGCAUACGACCUACGGGUGAAAGCAGGGGAUCUUCUGACCUUGCGCGAUUGAAUGAGCCGAUGUCGGAUUAGCUAGUUGGCGGGGUAAAGGCCCACCAAGGCGACGAUCCGUAGCUGGUCUGAGAGGAUGAUCAGCCACACUGGAACUGAGAAACGGUCCAGACUCCUACGGGAGGCAGCAGUGGAGAAUAUUAGACAAUGGGCGAAAGCCUGAUACAGCCAUACCGCGUGGGUGAAGAAGGCGUUCGGGUUGUAAAGCCAUUUUGUUGGGAAAGAAAAGCAGCAGGUUAAUACCCCGCUGUUAUGACGGUACCCGAAGAAUAAGCACCGGCUAACUUCGUG
rnacentral:rRNA from 1 species